rnacentral:rRNA from 1 species
CAGUCGCCACGGGAAUACGAAGGGUGCAAGCGUUAAUCGGAAUUACUGGGCGUAAAGCGUGCGCAGGCGGUUUGUUAAGACAGAUGUGAAAUCCCCGGGCUCAACCUGGGAACUGCAUUUGUGACUGGCAAGCUAGAGUGUGGCAGAGGGGGGUGGAAUUCCGCGUGUAGCAGUGGAAUGCGUAGAUAUGCGUAGGAACACCGAUGGCGAAGGCAGCCCCCUGGGCCAACACUGACGCUCAUGCACGAAAGCGUGGGGAGCAAACAGGAUUAGAUACCCGCGUAGUCCCUGUCUCUUAUAC